AUUGAACGCUGGCGGCAUGCCUUACACAUGCAAGUCGAACGGCAGCACGGGUGCUUGCACCUGGUGGCGAGUGGCGAACGGGUGAGUAAUACAUCGGAACGUACCUUAUCGUGGGGGAUAACGCAGCGAAAGCUGUGCUAAUACCGCAUACGCCCUGAGGGGGAAAGCGGGGGAUCGCAAGACCUCGCGCGAUUAGAGCGGCCGAUGCCUGAUUAGCUAGUUGGGGGGGUAAAAGCCCACCAAGGCGACGAUCAGUAGCUGGUCUGAGAGGACGAUCAGCCACACUGGGACUGAGACACGGCCCAGACUCCUACGGGAGGCAGCAGUGGGGAAUUUUGGACAAUGGGGGCAACCCUGCUCCAGCAAUGCCGCGUGAGUGAAGAAGGCCUUCGGGUUGUAAAGCUCUUUUGUCAGGGAAGAAACACCGGCUCUAACACAGUCCGGGAGUGACGGUACCUGAAGAAUAAGCACCGGCUAACUACGUGCCAGCCGCCGCAGUAA
rnacentral:rRNA from 1 species